ACUGUCUGACUCAAGACUAGACGACAACUAGGAUGGAAACUCUACCAGAUUGGAAAAAGAGUUUGUGGGUUUUUUAUACCUAUGCUAUAAGAUUUAACAUUUCUAAAGGCAUUACUGAAAUACAUUUACAUCUCAUGUAAUGGGAUUAAAUUCUCAGUGUCUCCAAAACUUUCCAGGCAAACCCUGCCCCUAAGGUACAUUUGCCUCAUGCAGCUUAGAAAUCCGAGAUUGUUCUAUGGAAGUUCUUUUGCUGUAAGUUAGAGAAGAAUUUUGACUGGUAUUUUAUCUCGUUUAUAUUUCCAAGGAAGACUUCUACUAUUGGGGACUGAAAUGCAGUACUUAUUUUAUUUGUGCAAUUAAUAAAUGUUAAUGACUGAGUUAUUUUUAUAUGCACAUUAGAUUUCUAGUUGAACAGCUAACUUCAUACUGUCAAAAUUGUUAGGAAGGCAUUAUUUAUGUAGUAAAGACUGUAGAAUAAAGAACCAUCCCUUUGCUAAAAUUUGACAUGUGGGAAAUCUUUGUUUUAAUGCAGUUAUUUUAAUUAUGAACCUUAAAAAUAUUGAUUUUCUUAGCAUGCAAAAUAAUUACCUUACCUUUUAAAUCUUUUUUUCCCCUAAGAGACUAAAGGUGAUAAAAACUUGCAAAGUAAUAAUGAACAUGGAAAAUCAAACACAAGUCAUCUUCUGGGAAAGUAAAUAAUCUGUUUCUUAAUGUUAUUUCUUCAUCGAGAACCAGGUCUCAUUAAAUAGAAAUGACAAAAGAGCAUUUCUUAUCAUAGAGCAGUCUCAGCCAGGACCUUUUAUUUCCUUUUCUUCUGUGAUACAACUCCCAGGACUCCCCCAGAGAGAAGAUACUGAGAGAGAUUAGGAUGCUAUAUGCACGGGGGAAGGCCCUGCGUUCAUCUUUUCCUAGGCACACGUGCGUUUGAAUGCAUGUCUUCUGUUGUACACCACGGGUCAAGCAAUCUCCAGAACAAAGUGCAAAUACAUCAGUAUCUUUUUCUUUCUUUUUUCUUUCUUUUUUUCCUUUUCCUUCCUUCCUAUCUCUUUCUUUUCCUUCCUUCCUUCCUUCCUUCCUUCCUUCCUUCCUUCCUUCCUUCCCUUAUUUCUUUCUUUUUCUUUCCUUUUCUUUAUUUUCUUUCAUCUUUUCUAGGGCCGCACCUGCAGCAUAUGGAUGUUCCCAGACAGCAACAUGCGAUCUGAGACCUACAGCACAGCUCACAGCAAUGCCGGAUCCUUAAACCCCUGAAUGAGGCCAGGGAUGGAAACCGCAACCUCAUGGUUCCUAGGCAGAUUUGUUAACCACUGAGCCACAUUGGGAACUGCUUUUUCUUUCUUUUUGAUAAAAAGAGGAAUACUAUACACCCCACUUUUCCUCUCUGUUUUUUUUCACUUAGCAAGCCAUAGUAAUCUACAGAGAGAGUUCACAAUUCUUUCCAAAGCUGCACAGCAUUCCAUAAUGUAAAUAUACAAUCAUCUAUUCAACACUUGAAGUUUACAAGUGGUGCUCUGAUAAUAAAUCUUGAACACACAGGGUUUUUUUUACAUUUUUGCCAGUGCAUGUUUUAAAUAGAUCUCUGAAAGUAGACCUGUAGACUGAACACAUGAAGUGUGUGUUCAUUUUGCUAGGUAUUGUCAGACCAGCUAGAUCUAAAAGUGAUUGCUUUUUCACAGCUUCACAAAAAGAAUACACUGUCCGACUUUUAGGUUUUUCCUAUCUGAUAGCAAAGAAAUGACUAUUUCAGUGAGUUUUAGUUUGUGAUUUUCUUAUUAUGAGAGGCUGAACAGUUUUCUUAUUAUGAAAGGCUUAAGGUUAAGGUCCAUUUGCAUUACUUUUUCUAUGAACUAUCUAUUUCUAUAACGUUGUUAGCCUUUGUUUUCUUUGUUUUUAGAAGUCUUUAAUAUAUUAGGAAUAUCAACUCUUUGCGAUGUAAGUUAUCAGUUUCCUUUUUUUUUUUUUUUUUUUUUUUUUUUUUUGUCUUUUUGCUAUGUCUUUGGGCCGCUCCCGCGGCAUAUGGAGGUUCCCAGGCUAGGGGUUGAAUUGGAGCUGUAGCCACCGGCCUACGCCAGAGCCACAGCAGCGCGGGAUCCGAGCCGCGUCCGCAACCUACACCACAGCUCACGGCAAUGCCGGAUCGUUAACCCACUGAGCAGGGGCAGGGACCGAACCCGCAACCUCAUGGUUCCUAGUCGGAUUCGUUAACCACUGCGCCAUGACGGGAACUCCCCAUUUUUUCAUUUAUCUUUUUUCUUUGCUCAUGUACGUUUUGCAAGAGAUUUUCUUGUUAAAUUUUGAUGUAAUUAAGUUAAAUUUAAAUAUUUUCUCCUGUUGAUUUUGAAUUUUAAGUUUUAACUAGUAAGAUUUUCUCUGCUCCUAAAUUAGAGAAAGCCAUAUGUAUUUUUUUCUAGUACUUGUAUAAUUUCACUUCUUAAUAUUACAUUAUUUAAUGCAGUUAAGAGUUUAUAGUUUGUGGUUAAUACAGUUUUAUUGUUUCUUUUCCUGUGUGUGAGGCUUUCCAGUUUCAUCAGCAUCAUCUAUUAAAAAGUCUAACUUUCGGAGUUCCUUCUGUGGUACAAUAGAAUGGGUGUUGUCUCUGCAGCAACAGGGCUCAGGUUCGAUACCUGGCCCGCGCAGUGGGUUAAAGGAUCUGGUGUAGAUUGCAACUGUGGCUUGGAUCAGAUUCCUGGCCUGGGAACUCCAUAUGCUGCAGGACAGGAUAGAUAGAGAGAUAGAGAGAUAGAUAAGUAGAAUUUUUCCCCCAAGAUUUGAGAUGCUGCCAUAUUGUACUCAAAACUUCAUAUACUAAGACUAUUUCUGGAUUGUCCAUUCUGAUCUAUCCAUCUGUCCCUCUAUUGAUGCAUUACCAUGGGCCUUAUUUUUCUUAAACAGAGGCCAUAUAGUGUGUGUCAGUGUGUAGUGGGGCUACACUCCUAUCAAUGCAGUGAUUUCUUUUUCAGUGUUUUUUUUUUGGGGGGGGGACUGGCUUCUUGCUUUUUUUCCAAAUAAAUUUUAUAAUCAGCUUAGUUACAAAAAUUUGAGCAUCAAAAAUAAAACCGAGAAAUUAGAAUUGCAUUAUGUUUAUAAAUUAGUAUAGAGAAGACUAAUAUAUUUAUGAUGUUUGGUUUUCCAAAAAAAAUGUGUUAUUUAUUUAUUUAUUCAAGUCUGCAUAUAUGCCUUUUAGGAGUACAUUAUGGUUUUAUAAAUGUAAAUUUUGUUUUGUUGAGUUGGAUGAGAUAUUUGUAUAUUUUAGAGAUUAGGCCCUUGUCAGUUGUGUCAUUGACAAAGAUUUUCUUCUAUUUUGUGUGUUGUCAUUUCAUUUUUUUAAAUGGUUUUCUUUGUUGUGCAAAGGCUUUUGAGUUUAAUUAUGAGGUCCUACUGUACAGCACCGGGAACUAUGUCUUUUCUCUUGGGAUAGAACAUGAAGGAAGAUAGUAUGAGAAAAAGAGUAUAUAUGUAUAUGACUGGGUCACUAUGCUGCACAGCUGAAUUUGGCACGACAUUAUAAAUCAAUGAUACUUUAAAAAAUUAUAUUUUUGGACAUUGAUUGCUAGCUUAAAUCUAAAUGUUUUAUUUAUGUAUGCAUUUAUUUAUUUACUAUUUUAAUUUUUAUUUUGGCUACAGUGUGCUGAAGCUUUAUUUGGGGUCUCAGUUCCUAGACCAGGGAUUAAACCACAGCUGCUAAAUCCUAACCACUUGACCACCAGGGAACUCCAUAAGUGUUUUGUUUUUAUGUCUGAUAUUUUAAAUGGCAAACAUAAAAAUAAAAUUUCUGGUUUUCCUGGUAAGAUUCUGCUUCUUAGAUUGAUACAUAUACAUUUUGUUGUACAGUUCCUUACACUAAGGUGGUGACCAUCAGUUCCUAUUUUAUGAAUGGAUGUUGUAUUUUGUAACAUCUUUUUUAAAAUGUAAAUACCCUUUCUUUUCUAGAAAUAUUUUCUUUGCUUAGCUUCCAGAAUUAUUUUGUUUCUUGUCCUGCCACCCUGACUUUCCUUUCUUUCCAGCCCUAAAAUAUGUGUUCUCCAGAGUCAGAUGAUUUGGAACCCAUGCCUCUAUCAUCUUACCUCCCUUGUCCAGGCUCCCAACUUACAUAGCCUUGAUAACUGGCAACUGUAUAUCUGCUAGACUGAGAUAAAUAUAACCACUUAUACAUCUUCUUCCUUUAAAUAUCUGAGAGCUCUCUUAGACCAAACUAAAUUCUUUCUUUACCUCAGAACUGCUGUUCAGCCCAUUAUCCUCCUCUCAGUUAUCUUAUGUUUCAUUGAACACUUAGAUGGGGCAAACUAUAUGCCAGACAUUAUUCUAAGUGGUUUAUUUAUUUAUUUGUUUAUUUUUGGCUUUUUUUUUUUUUUAAGUGCACCCAUGGCAUAUGGAAGUUCCCAGGCUAGGGGUGGAAUCAGAGCUAUAGCUGCCGGCCUACACCACAGCCACAGCAAUGCAGAAUCCGAGCCAAGUCUGUGACCUGCACCAUAGCUCACAGCAACACUGAAUCUUUAACCCACUGAGCAGGGCCAGGGAUCAAACCCACUACCUCAUGGAUGCUAGUCAGAUUCGUUUCCGCUGAGCCACUAUGGGAACUCCUUGUUUAUUAACUAUUAAAUCGUUUAACACUCAUAAUAACUCUGUGAGGUAGUCACUAUUGCCAUUUUCAUUUUAUCAAUUAGGAGAACUCAGAUGGCUUGUGUGGUAUCUCAGUAAAUGAAAUCUCUAAGGUAAAUCUGGGCAGUUUGACUGAAAAGUGCAUUUUUCUGUUACAGAGUGAAUUUUUCUGCUUGUCCAAGCCAGUGAACUUGGAUUUGUCCUUAACUCUUCUAUUACUUUUGCACUGCAGAAAUAAUAUACUAGCAAAUCUAUUGACUCUUCCAUCAAGAUAUAUCCAGAAUCUGAACACUCUUUACCUCAUUCAUUCUAAACAUCUUGGUUUAACACACCAUAAUUUUUUGCCUGUAAUAUUGAAAUAAUCUCCAGCCAGCUUCCUGCCCCUCACACCUUUUGCUUCUAUAGUAUAUUUUCCACAGGGCUUGUCUUGUCCCAUUUCAAAUACAUCAGACCUCCCCUGUUCUUGGCUCCAAAAUUUCUGUUGUCUUCCCAAAUUGAUAAACAGAUGGCCAAAGUUCUAAAAUGACUUAAUCUCCUACAUGACCCAACCUUGUUAAUCUCAUCACUCUGUCUGUGGCAUCCUUAUGGUGCCUUGAAUACACCAAUCACUCUCUCAACUCAGAGCUUUUACAAUUACUCUGCCCUCUGCCCCCAGAUGUCUGCAUUUAGCUCUAAUAUUUCUUUUGACUCUAUACUCAUAGGUCACCUUGUGAAAGAAAGAACUUUCUUAAAUGUCUUUUACUAAAAUAAAAAUUUCGCUCAUCACUCUCACCUACUUUUUAAAAAAAUAGCACUUAUCAUCAUCUUCAAACAUUAUAUAUCUGUAUCUUUACUUUAGGUUUUUAAAUUUUCAGCACACCCAAUUAGGGAUUUUAACUUUUUCGCUGUUAGAUCUCCAGUGCCUGAAAAGGUACUUGAGGAAAAUUAAGUGCUCAGUAAUUAUUGGAUGGGUGAAUAAUUAAGUAAUAAGCAUGAUUCCCUUAACUUAAUUGAUGACAACUCUUUUUAUGGAGCAUCCCACACUGAGGAAUGCUAGUGUUCUAGGAAACACACGUUUGGGAAACUGGGUUAAAUAUUAGACAAUGCUGCUUUUACUUAAUCUUGAGGGGAAGCUCAUCGACUUCUAUUUUGCUUUGAUUGUUGACCAGCUAAAUGAUGAUACUGAAUUGAGUGAGUUUUCUUCUACCUCUGUUUACUUGUGUACUAACUGCAUCUAGAAUAUAUUCCUUCUCUUUAUUUGAACUCAACCCCUAUGUGUUGUACAGAAUAAAUAUCCCUCAAAUAUUGGUCUACUUUUCUUUUCCAUUCAUAUUCAGCAUAUUCAACAGUGUUGGCUAAUAGCUUUCAACUCAUAAUCCAUCUCAUAGAUUCAUUUGAGGCUAAGAAUCGAUGUGUUGAGAUGGAUUGGGCGGCUUAGUUAGAUGGAGUGUCUUUGAUAAGCAAUGAUUGCCUAGGGCCAGAAGGGUCAGUGAUAGCAUCAGUGACACACAUUUUUCAUGUUUGCAUUGCCAGGUAAGCUCUUGAGAGAAAUUAACUUAUUCAUUUUUAAAAAUCCACUUAUUAUCUAACAUAGAACAUUGCUUGUAUAUUGCAUGUAAUGGAUACUCCAUACAUAUUUGUUCUUUGUGUGAUUAUUCUAUGAAUGCUAAAGGAAUACUCAUUUGUAUCCUGAUCACGAAUCUCAUCCCUCUGUUUCCUAGGCAACUUUUUCCUUUAUCAGAGUAAAAGAUCAUUAAUCCCCAAUAUAUUGCUAGAUAAAUCUUUGUGUGGCACCCAAAUGUCACCCGUUUAUAUAUCAUAAAAUUGAGUUCUGCAAGUUAUCACAUGAGAGAAAAUUAUCUCUUUUACCUGUAUACCUUUCUUGUGCAAAAUAAAAAUAAUUUAUAUUUUUCUUGGGGUGAACAGGUGUUAUAAUACUCCUCAAAAUGACUUAUAAGACACUGCUAACUUCCAGUAGCUCAGUGAGAAUUCUUGUUAAACUAAAUAGAGGUCCACUUAUCAUUUUCCUAACUGAUAAAAUCAUGUUGUUGACAAGAAUAAGAGAUAUAAGUGAAAAAUUUAUAGUGACUAAUUUUAGAAGAAAGUUUCCCAAUGGGUUGCCUCAUUC
rnacentral:lncRNA from 1 species